rnacentral:rRNA from 1 species
UACGGAGGGUGCAAGCGUUAUCCGGAUUUACUGGGUUUAAAGGGUGUGUAGGCGGGCUUUUAAGUCAGUGGUGAAAUCUCCGGGCUCAACUCGGAAACUGCCAUUGAUACUAUUAGUCUUGAAUUUUGUUGAGGUAGGCGGAAUAAGUCAUGUAGCGGUGAAAUGCAUAGAUAUGACUUAGAACACCAAUUGCGAAGGCAGCUUGCUAAACAAACAUUGACGCUGAGGCACGAAAGCGUGGGGAUCAAACAGG